UAAGUAAGACAGACGAUCGCGGUCGGGCGCGCAGGCGUCCGGGUGAGGAAAGUCCGGGCUUCACAGGGCAGGAUGCCGGAUAACGUCCGGUGGAGGCGACUCCAAGGCCAGUGCAACAGAAAUAUACCGCCAGAGAAAGCUUUAGCUUUCUCUUGGUAAGGGUGGAAAGGCAGUGUAAGAGACUACCGUCCGUCCGGUAACGGGCGGAGCCAUGUAAACCCCAUCCGAAGCAAGACCAAAAAGAAAGCUAUAGGUCGGCCCGGCCUGCUUUCAGGUAGGUCGCUAGAUACGGCUGGCGACAGCCGUGCCAGAUAGAUGAUCGUCCGGGGAUCAGUGUGAUCCCUUUGACAUAACCCGGCUUAUCGUCUUGCUUACAUU
rnacentral:RNase_P_RNA from 1 species